CUAUGACAUUCUCCCUCUUCGGCGAGAUAAAUCCACUCCCGAGGUUUGAUAUGCUGCUCAAAGAAUAAUCGAUCUCCGAAGCACUCCUAUCGAAUAUCAUCACACGAAAAGUGGAGUUCCCUUUAUAUUUGAAAACUACGAGGUGACCGGGACCAAUGGAGUAAUGCUGCAUAAAUUCUUGCCACCCUUUCCACAACCAAACUGUGCCGUCGUUAAGUUUUUCUACUCCCAUACUCCAGGUCGAAUUGCCCAGAACCUCGAGUAGCACCAAGCUCGAGAGAUCCUUUCCAUAUCUUCGUAAGAACUUUUUCGGAAUUCCCUAUUCAGAAAACUCAAAAGUUAUACUUCCAGCACUAAAAUUCAUCAAAAUUAGAUCGAAAGUGCAGGGAAAAAAGGAAAAGCACUAGGCAAAUUUUAACUUCUGCAACAUGGCAAUGGAAGAUCGGUUCGCACACAAGCAGGGUGUCACCGGGCAAGUAAGGAUCGAGUUUUAGCUAUAGUUGCUUCAUUUGACAAGAGUCAAAACUAGAGAGACCCAACACCUUUGUCCACACUAUCCUUAGCCAACCAAUCCUCAAUUCCAAUAAAAAGAACUGAUUUUUAUCUUGAAUCAAUAAAAAUGAACUGAUUUUUAGCUAGAAUCAAUCAAAAUGAACACUUUUUUUCUACAGGGUAUUCGUUUUUUCUUUCUUUCCGCAAGAAUCAAAAGGAUUACUCAAAGCCAAACGCAUGGAAAGAUCCCCAGAUUGAUUGUAAACAGCAGCACGAGGGGCGACAGUUCUAAACCAAGACGGAAACAUCGCUGCGAAAAAGCGGGAACUUACGAGCUUCCCAGAUUCGAGGGUGUCGGAGAGAAUUAUCUUGAAGAAGUGAGGGCUCUCGAGACGAGGUCCCGUCGCGGUAUCUGGGUCGACGCCUCCAUCUUCUCUCCGGCGACGGCGACCGCUAGCCAUGUACACAGGGAUCAGUGAAGGAGGAGGGAGGGGAAGGGGGUUUUGUGCUAUUUGCCUUGUGUUCUUGAGGCAACCUUCUUGUGAAAGAACCUUGCCGUUGACUGGUAAUGUCAUUGAUGAUAUCAUGAUAAACAUUUAUAUUAUUAUUUUAUUUUAUUUUUGGGACAGGAGGAACCGCCUACCGGCCGACAUCCUCGGUGUAAACCCCCAGUGACGCUAACAGGACCCACUACUACGGCAUCACGCUUAAGAAUCCUAACGACAAUGCUGGGAUUUGAACCUCUUCUUGUCAUGAGGAGGAGUCGGCUCGAACCAACGCUGCCACUAAGAGCAGUGGUAUAAACAUUUAUAUUAUUUAUGUCCUAAAAGGGCACAAAUACUAUACUACAAAACAAAAAAGUAUAAAUAUCAAUCCUGUCCAUAAGAGAUAAGCAUGGUCCGGAUGAACAGUUCUCACCUUUGAAUAGGAACCACCCACUAAAAACUAAUUCCGAAAAUUUAGAAUCGGGAAUCAUCUGUUCGUUUCAUAUAUCAAACCGUCAAUCCGGUCAAAUUCUCAAGUGAGUCAUUGGAACUGAUCCCCAAUCCCUACAAAGCUUAUUCGGCCUUAUACUCGGAUUGAAUUGCGAACCGUUGAUUAAAAAAUUAUAGAGCAAAACAAAUAAACAAUGCUUGUCAGUUAAAAACUUAGUUUCUUCGAACGUCAUGGUGUAGUCCUCUUAAGAUUUCCCGACACCAAAAACAUGUGAAGAAUUAGAUUCUACGUUAAAAGUUCUAACCUCCACAAAAGUUAAAACAUUAAUCACUUGGUCUCUUUAUUCUGAACGUCAAUCUAAUUUAAUCAUGAGAAUGAAUAAGAAGAGACAUAAUUAUACUCUUAUGGACAUCUCCAAUUAGUUAUUUCCUUCCUCUAUGUCUAUUUAUUUUAUUUUGGUUGAGAAAGUAAAUGGAUUAUUAAAAUGGAAAAAAAAAGGUUAGGAGGGUUAAUCCUAUUACAUACCCAAGAGACAAAAUUAGUUAAUAAUAUCAAAAAAACUACAAAUAUACAUAUAUGUACAUAUAUGUUUGGUUGAAAAAAUACAAAAUAAUUAAGUAAUUGAAAUAGAAUUUCUUUUUUAAAUAUAUGUAUAUCGGUUCGAUCUGAUCUAAGUUGGCGAGCGAUUCCACGCUUAGAAUCGGGAGCCAAAUCGGUACUCAUCGAUUCCACUAAUUUGGAACCAAGAAUAGACUAGCCCCCAUGAGAACCGUCUGCUCUAGUUCCGAUGCGGUCUAGUUCCGAGCAAUCCAGGCAAUUCUCAAUUCUUUUGCACAUCCUUACUAUCCAUAGAGGCAUAUGAAGUUAUAUUUUAGUCGGAUACAGCCACCAUUAUUCUAUUUCCAUGAAUCGGAUAUAUGUGAAUAUUAUCAUGCACAUUUAUUUCCAAGUAAAUUGACAUAUGAGUAAUUUUUAUAUCUGUGACUCUCCAAUCAAAAGGCGUGAUUGGAAGACUUCCUCAUGAAGGAAAACAUAACCCAAGAUAAUGGACGAGGCAUUCUUCGGGGGUCUUUGAGGCCUACUUUGUUCUUCAAAUUAUAGAUGAAAUGAGCAAAAUAUCAUUUUAGUAAUGCUUCAUAAAGUCAUAAAUGUUUCCCUGUUUUUCUUCUAACCCAUUAGUAAAUUUAAAUUUUUUAACCCCAAAAAAGUAAAUUUAUAUUCUCUUAUUGCAAUUACCAAGAAAAAAGAAGAUUUAUGCAAAAUUAGUUUUUUGGGUUCCUCUCAGCACCAUAAACAGCCCAAUGUGUGACCCCCUUCUGUAGUUGAUCUCAAUCGAUUCAAAUCACUGAAAAUGGAGAUUCUGAACACGACAUUUUCGACCAGAUCAUUUCAUGGCAUUUUGUUACUAAACUGUUUUUCCACAAUUAAUGUUGUUAAGCUUGUUAGAUGACUCGGAUUAGUUUUGAUUAGAAUAAUUUCAACUAUAUGCUUCACACCUGUCAAUUAUGGUCGCAAUUUUAUGUUUGGAAAGAAACUAUAGUUAUUUAGUGAUUGCCAAAAAAUUUAUUUCUAUUUUAAAAAUUUAGAUUGUUAGCACUUGAAAAUGAGCUCUUUAAGUUCUCAAUUUCUCAAUUUUUUUGAAUAUGCCUAAAUGCACAUAAUUGGUGCAUCCAUGCUGAUCGAAUAAGGCUCCUCCAAUAAAGUGAUGGACAUGGCCUCCAAUUUGAGAUUAUUUUGAAUUUGAAACAUAAGCCGAGAAAAAAUUAUAAAAUAAAAAGUUCUAAAUUUAUUACAAUUAUAUCAAUUUAGUUUUAAUUUUUUAAUUAUACCAAUUGAAUCAUAAACCUUUUUGCAUUAUCAAUUGAGUUCAUUUAGUCAAUUUUAAAUGGAAAUAACUGAAGUGAACACUGACAGUACCACAUAGAACCGUCAACACUAACGUGGGCAAUUUUUAUAAUUUUUUCAUGUCAAAAAUUGAAUUUCUUAUAUUUUUUUCUUUUUUCUUUUCCUUUUAUUUCCUAUCAAACAAUCAGCCCUCACCAAAUUUGAAAGAAAAAUAAUAAUAAAAUAAUAAAUCAAUUUUUAUAAUAUGAUUUGCGUCCAUAUCAACAAUUUCCAGCUAAAAAUAUAAACUUAAUUGGCAAAAUAUGAUAAGAUGUAAGACUAAAUUAACAAUGAUUGCAAUAGGUUUAAAAAAAUUUGGUAAUUUUUCCCAUAAUCUAAUCAAGAGCCUGUCACAUAAAAUCAACCAAUAACCGAUGCCACUUUCUACUUUUAUUUUAUUUUCAUUUAGCAUAAAACAAUAUAAAUAUAACCACCGGCCGCGGUGGCUCCACUGGAUCUAAUCCUCAACGAAGAGGUGAAAGGUUCAAAACCCAGGAGAGGCGCUAGGUGUAUUAAGUGUGACUCAUGGGUGGUGGGUCCUCCUACUUAAGUGUCACUUGGGGGUUUACGGCGAAGCUGAUGGCUGCAAGCCGGUUCCUCCAAUACCAAAAAAAAAAAAAAAAAAACAAUAUAAAUAUAAUGUCAAAAGGCGAGGAAUGCAAAAAGUAAACGCAUGGACUCUUUGGUAUAACACAAAAUAUUAAGAUGUUAAGGAUAUACAUAUGAAACCCCUGAGGUCAGUUAAACAACCAGAAGCCCAAAAAGCGCCAUGUCUGAGGGAUUAUUUCCAAAAUGGAACCAUAGAACUGAAACUACCACCAAAAAACAAGAAACCAUGAACAAAAAAGUGUCUCCGUUUCAUCGAUCUGCCAUUGCUGGAUGGAGGAAGCAUAAUUUGAUAUCCUGGAUUUACAUCGACGCUGCAAACAGCCUAUAGUAACAUGUCCCGUGAUCACCUCAAUCAAUGUGAAUCUGGUCCUUACCGCCGUCGCUGAAGACGGAGACUUUGAACACAUUAUCUUCCCUAUCGAUGAGCUCAAACACGCAGGCAUUUCCUACACACAAAUGAGUUUCCCUCGCAAAUGCAAUCCAACCAGCAGAGAAUGACGCUAUCUUUUUAUUUUUACAUCGUAAGAGCUUCACCGGCCAUGAUCUGUCCGAAUACCUAAGAGUUGCCGUUCCCUUGUUUUCUCGAAUAUGUUGCCUGAUGAAUCGAUCAGGAACACUCUGCAAUUGCAUACAUGUUUAAACAACCAGUCUAUGCCGAAAGAAGGACAAUGAUGUAAAGAUGCACUCUUGGACAAAAAAAAAGAAGCACACAAGGCCAUAUUUGCUAGUUUUGGGAGCCUUAAUGCAGAGUCUUAAGAGGCUCAUUAAAGCCAUCGAUCUUAACCCACAAUGUAAAGCAAUUUCAAACAAAAUGACUGCCCAUUAAUUGCCAUUUUAGGUUAGUAGUCGAUUCAAGUGACUGUCCAUCCUUUUCACUUGGAUAGGGAUCAAGCACCUUGUCGAGGAUAUCCAAGUUAAAUGGAUAGUCUCGACCUGAUUACCGUCUUUUACUUCUGUUUCUUCUACUCCUCUUUUUCCCUAUUUGGCGUUACUCCGCCAUUGGGAUGCCCCACGAUCACUCGAAGGAAGAUAUCUCGUCAUAUGGUUUCCAAUACAAACCAAAUCAACCGGGGAAAACACAAUAUCGAGGCAAUAUUCGGAUAGAGAUUGUAAUCAAACUUGAGACGUGGCAAUGAUGGAUUAGGCUCAAAGAUUGUACCAGUGUCUUCAAAUGACAUUCCCGUAUCACCAGUUUGAAGAAAGGAUGCUCCGAAUCAAAAUCUCUGGCUAAUUCAGGAGUAGUGAGAGGCCUCGGAGGAGCAGGAUCAUGAAAUACCGGCUCAAGAUGGUUCACUCUGCAUUUAGACUGUUUGCACGUGCCUGCAGUUAAAAUGAGAAAUUUAAGAGACAUUACUGGAGUAAAUGUUUCUUUAAUUGACUAGGAAGAUCUUUAGCAUAGAACUCAUGUCAUGCCAUAACUAGCCUAAGGUUUCACUUCAGACAACGUAAAUCAAGUACCUACCUUUGCUACUGAAAAUGUAGACUCUGAACACAAUAUCAUCCCUAUCAAUCAGCUCGAACACGCAGACAUUUCCUACAUGCAAGCGAGUUCCUCUCACAAAUGCGCCCCAACCAGAAGAGAAUGCCGCCCCAUGGACUGAACGUGGAUUGCUCCAAAGCUUCACUGGCCACGAUCUGCCCGAAUGCCUAAGAGUCACGAUUUCCUUGAUUUCCAGAAUGUGCUGAAUGAUGAACCUACGAGGAACAUACUGCCCAAGCACAUGUUUGAACAACCCAUGCUUGGUAAAGAAAGAACCCAGCAAGCAAAAUGUAAAUUGAUACGGUAGUUUUAAUACCUGUAAUCUACAGUCUUAACAGGACAAAAGUUGAAAAGUCAAAAACUCUGCUCAUAGAACUAUCAUGGGGGGUCAAGGAUCUUUGCCCUUUUAAACAAAUAGCGAUGAACAUAUCCAAGGAAAACGCUAUGUAAUUUCCUACAGGAAUCCAAUCAGCUUAAAGAAAAAAGCCAGAAUGGUGAUGAAUUAACCUCUCAAUCUUACCGCUUCCUUCUUCAUAUAAGAUGGCCGCAUCACCACCUUGAAAAAAGGAUACUCUGAGUCAAAUUUGCUAGCCAAUUCAAAACUAGAGAGAGGCCAUGGACUCAUAGAACCACCAGAAACCGGCUUAGAAUGGCUAGCUCUGCUUCUAGACUGCCCAGCCCCAUCUGUUCUUUAAAAAGAAAAAUGAAAUAUUCAGAUCACACCAAUUUGAACUUUUCACUUUCCAUGAACAUAUUUAGUACAGAAUGGAAGAAAAUACCGUCAUGGAAAUCAAGUUUUAGAUAAGUUGACCAAACGAAAAAUUCACUUCUCUUCACCUCAGAAGUUGUAACUACUUAACCACAAUAACCAUGAUUGAAAUCAUUAUGUUAUCAGUCAACAUAAACAAGCUCAUCAAAAAGUUCUCAAGUGCAUGAAAAAGAACUAACAAAAGAGAGAGGGCUGUCAGUAGAAACGUGACUCAUAAAAUAACAAAUCAGACCUUCAAGAUCUUGUGAUGAGCAGCUUGGACUCAGCUGAGAACAUGGUGAAUGAGGUUCAACCCUCAUUUUUUGAUGAGAUGCGGAAUCCUCUGAAUCUUCCAUUUCUAUCACAUCCUCCCACUCUGGCGAGAUAAAUCCACUCCCCAGGUUUGAUAUGCUGCUCGAUGAAUAAUCGAUCUCCGAAGAACUCUUGUUGAAAAUCAUCACCCGGAAAGUGGAGCUCCCUUUAUAUUUGAAAACUAUGAGGUGACCGUGACCAAUGGAGUAAUGCUGCAUAAAUUCUCGCCACCCUUUCCACAACCAAAC
rnacentral:lncRNA from 1 species